GCCCAGACUCCUACGGGAGGCAGCAGUGGGGGAUAUUGCACAAUGGGGGAAACCCUGAUGCAGCGACACCGCGUGGGUGAAGAAGCGCUUCGGCGUGUAAAGCCCUCUCAGUGGGGAAGAAAAAGGACGGUACCUGAAGAAGAGGCCCCGGCUAACUACGUGCCAGCAGCCGCGGUAAUACGUAGGGGGCAAGCGUUAUCCGGAUUUACUGGGUGUAAAGGGGGCGCAGACGGCGAUGCAAGCCAGGAGUGAAAGCCCGGGGCCCAACCCCGGGACUGCUCUUGGAACUGCGUGGCUGGAGUGCAGGAGGGGCAGGCGGAAUUCCUGGUGUAGCGGUGAAAUGCGUAGAUAUCAGGAGGAACACCGGUGGCGAAGGCGGCCUGCUGGACUGCAACUGACGUUGAGGCCCGAAAGCGUGGGGAGCAAACAGGAUUAGAUACCCGUGUA
rnacentral:rRNA from 1 species